GAAACUGCGAAUGGCUCAUUAAAACAGUGAUAGUUUAUUUGAUGAUGUGUUAGAUGGAUAACUGUAGAAAACUAGAGCUAAUACAUGUUUGGUGUUUAUUAGAUAUCGUCCAGGUGGGAAUUAUAAUACAUGAGGACCGCGUCGGGAGAUGUGGUAUGUCAUUCAAGUUUCUGCCCUAUCAGCUUUUGAUGGUAGUGUAUUGGACUACCAUGGCUAUAACGGGUACGGGGAAUUAGGGUUCGAUUCCGGAGAGGGAGCCUGAGAGACGGCUACCAGUUCUAAGGAGUGAAGCCGGCGCGAAAUUUACCAAUUCCUGAUUCAGGGAGGUAGUGACAAGAAAUAACAACGCCGGGCCUUGUCUCGGUGAUUGCAAUGAUUUAACUUUAAAAAGGUUUAAAGGACCCACUGGAGGGCAAGUCUGGUGCCAGCAGCCGCGGUUAGUCCAGCUCCAGUAGCGUAUAUUAGAGUUGUUGCAGUUAAAAAGCUCGUAGUUGGACAUCUCUCUUUCUUGUAUUUGUAUAUGAGAUUGGGAUCUGCUUUGCAUCAUUACUAGUGCUUUAUUGGACUGUAAUGAAAUGCGGGCCGUUUACCUUGAGGAAACUAGAGUGUUUAAGGCAGGCUCCUGCCUGAAUACCGCAGCUGGGAAUAAAAUGACAUGGUAGUCUUGGCGAGACUAUCCAAUUUUUUAAUAGGGACAGUUGUGGGCAUUGGUACUCAGCAGUCAGAGGUGAAAUUCUUGGAUUUACUGAAGACCAACUACUGCGAAAGCAUUUGCCAAGGAUGUUUUCAUUAAUCAAGAACGAAAGUUAAGGGAUCAAAGACGAUUUGAUACCGUCGUAGUCUUAACCAUAAACUUUACCGACUAGGGAUUGGGGAGACUAUCUAAAUCUCUUCAGCACCUUCCGAGAAAUCAAAGUCUUUGGGUUCUGGGGGGAGUAUAGUCGCGAGGCUGAAACUUAAAGGAAUUGACGGAAGGGCACCACAAGGAGUGGAGCCUGCGGCUUAAUUUGACUCAACACGGGAAAACUUACCAGGUCCAGACAUAGUAAGGAUUGACAGAUUGAAAGUUCUUUCUUGAUUCUAUAGGUGGUGGUGCAUGGCCGUUCAAAGUUGGUGGAGUGAUUUGCCUGGUUAAUUCCGAUAACCAACGAAACCUCAACCAAUUAAUUAGAUGCUUUCUUUUUAAGGAAGUCAUCUUCUUAGAGGGACUACCAGUUUUUAGUUGGAGGAAGCUUGAGGCAAUAACAGGUCUGUGAUGCCCUUAGAUGUCCUGGGCCUCACGCGCGCUACAUUGAUGCAGCCAACGAGUUCCUAGGUAUAUUUUACAUAGGCAAUCUUGAAACUGUAUCGUAGUUGGGAUUGAUCCUUGCAAUUCUUGGUCAUGAACUAGGAAUUCCUUGUAAGCGCAAGUCAUCAGCUUGCACUGAAUAAGUCACUGCCCUUUGUACACACCGUCCGUCUCCCACCCGAAUUAAAGUUUUAAGACGAAUAUUUCGGACUAUUUGGAAAGUAAUGUGAGUCUUUUUACUUAGAAGGUGGGGUUGUCGUAACAAGGUAUCCGUAGGUGAACCUGCAGAAGGAUCA
rnacentral:rRNA from 1 species